rnacentral:rRNA from 1 species
GAUGAACGCUGGCGGCGUGCCUAAUACCUGCAAGUCGAACGGCAGCACGACCUAGCUUGCUAGGUUGGUGGCGAGUGGCGCACGGGUGAGUAAUGCGUAGGAAUAUACCUUAAAGUAGGGGACAACCCGGGGAAACUCAGGCGAAUACCGCAUGAGCUCUAAGGAGGAAAGCUGGGGACGUUUCGGGGCCUAGCGCUUGACGCAUAGCUUACGUCCGAUUAGUUGGUUGGUGGGGUAAAGGCUUACCAAGACGAGGAUCGGUAGUUGGUCUGAGAGGAUGAUCAGCCACACUGGGACUGAGACACGGCCCAGACUCCUACGGGAGGCAGCAGUGGGGAAUAUUGGACAAUGGGGGAAACCCUGAUCCAGCGAUGCCGCGUGUGUGAAGGAGGCCUGCGGGUUGUAAAGCACUUUCGGUGGGGAGGAGGACUUAUAGGUUAAGAGCUAAUGAGUUGGACGUUACCCACAUAAGAAGCACCGGCUAACUCCGUGCCAGCCGCCGCGGUAA